GGCUCACUGCAACCUCUGCCUCCAAGGUUCAAGCGAUUCUCUUGCUUCAGACUUGCCAGUAGCUGGGAUUACAGACGUGCACUGCCACACUUGGCUAAUUUUUGUAUUUUUAGUAGAUACAAGGUUUGUAAGGAAGGAGUCCAGUUUCAAUGUUCUGCAUAUGGCUAGCCAGUUCUCCCAGGUCCAUUUAUUAAAUAGGGAAUCCUUUCCCCAUUGCUUGUUUGUGUCAGAUUUGUUGAAGAUCAGAUGGUUGUAGGUGUGUGGUCUUAUUUCUGAGUUCUCUAUUCUGUUCUAUUGGUCUAUGUGUCUGUUCUUGUACCAGUACCAUGCUGUUUUGGUUACUGUAGCCUUGUAGUAUAGUUUGAAGUUGGGUAGCAUGAUGCUUCCAGCUUUGUUCUUUUCUCUUAGGAUGAUUGUGGCUAUUUGAACUCUUUUUUGGUUCCAUAUGAUUUUUUUUUUGCCUCAGUUUCCUUAUUUAUUUAUUUAUUUGUUUAUUUUUUAUUAUUAUACUUUAAGUUUUAGGGUACAUGUGCACAAUGUGCAGGUUAGUUACAUAUGUAUACAUGUGCCUUGCUGGUGCGCUGCACCCACCAACUCAUCAUCUAGCAUUAGGUAUAUCUCCCAGUGCUAUCCCUCCCCCCUCCCCCCACCCCACAACAGUCCCCAGAGUGUGAUAGUUUUUUUUUUCUAAUUCUGUGAAGAAUGUCAAUGGUAGUUUAAUGGAAAUAGCAUUGAAUCAAUCUAUAAAUUGCUUUGGGCAGUAUGGCCAUUUUCAUGAUAUUGAUUCUUUCUAUUUAUGAACAUGGAAUAUUUUUCAAUUGUUUGUGUCCUCCCUAAUUUUCUUGAGCACUGAUUUGUAGUACUCCUUGAAGAGGUCCUUCACUUCCCUUGUUAGCUGUAUUCCUAGGUAUUUUAUUCUCUUUGUAGCAACUGUGAGUGGGAGUUCAUUCAUGAUUUCACUCUCUGCUUUUCUGUUGUUGGUGUAGG
rnacentral:lncRNA from 1 species